rnacentral:rRNA from 1 species
GAGUUUGAUCAUGGCUCAGAUUGAACGCUGGCGGCAUGCUUUACACAUGCAAGUCGAACGGCAGCACGGGGUUUACCCUGGUGGCGAGUGGCGAACGGGUGAGGAAUACAUCGGAACGUGUCUAUAAGUGGGGGAUAACGCAUCGAAAGGUGUGCUAAUACCGCAUAAUCUCUCAGGAGAAAAGCAGGGGAUCGCAAGACCUUGCGCUUUAGGAGCGGCCGAUGCCUGAUUAGCUUGUUGGUAAGGUAAAAGCUUACCAAGGCUUCGAUCAGUAGCUGGUCUGAGAGGACGACCAGCCACACUGGGACUGAGACACGGCCCAGACUCCUACGGGAGGCAGCAGUGGGGAAUUUUGGACAAUGGGGGAAACCCUGAUCCAGCCAUGCCGCGUGAGUGAAGAAGGCC